UACGUAGGGUGCGAGCGUUAAUCGGAAUUACUGGGCGUAAAGCGUGCGUAGGCGGUUCGUUAAGUUCGUUGUGAAAGCCCCGGGCUCAACCUGGGAAUGGCAAUGGAAACUGGCGGGCUGGAGUAUGGCAGAGGGGGGUGGAAUUCCGCGUGUAGCAGUGAAAUGCGUAGAGAUGCAGAGGAACACCGAUGGCGAAGGCAGCCCCCUGGGCCAAUACUGACGCUCAGGCACGAAAGCGUGGGGAGCAAACAGG
rnacentral:rRNA from 1 species